rnacentral:lncRNA from 1 species
GCCGGGACCGAGCAGGCCGGUGUGCGCAGGGCACGGGAGAGCCAGAGGCCAGGGCGGGGCGGCCACGGUGCACCCCUGGGGUCUCGCUUUGCACCGAAACCCCGGGCUACGUCACGGCGGCACUGUCAGUCACUGCAGUUUUCGAAAUCGCUGCGUUACGGCGCUCAAAACGGGGCCGUUCCAAAGCAGGGCUCGAGAACCAGGAGACCCGGGCGCUGCGGGGCCCAUCGCCCCGUCCCCAGCGCUCUCAACCCCGGCCGCCCGGCUCUCCAGCGGCGGAGCGGCGAGCAGACGGCAUCCGCCUCCGUGCGCUCCUCCCGCGCUCCCCCUGCGCGGCGGCCGCCCCUCGCAGGCCGCAGAGGUCGGGCCCGCGCCCCGCGGACCCACGCGCAGGCCGCCGCCCUCCCCGCGUGGGCGUCUCUGUAGCGCACGGACGACCUGCACCGUGGGGUCUCUGUAGCGCACGGACGACCUGCACCGUGGGCACCCAGGAAGUCGCCCAGCCUGCACACAAGGCCCCGUGUGUCUUCAUCGUGCGUUGACCUCACAAGGUGCCCAUGUAGCUGUCUGAUAGAAUCAUUUUGUGUUUAUCUUCACCAAGCUGUACACUCCUUCCUGUGCGUUGCCUUAUUUCUCAGGCCUUCUCUCUGCGAUAACUGUAUUGUCCCCUGAAAGAAUUUCCUUUGGGCCUGUGGCGGUGAAAUCUCUAGUUUUGGUGGUCUAAACAUAUAAACAUAUGUAUUUUUUUUGACAGGCAGAGUGGACAGUGAGAGAGAGACAGAGAGAAAGGCCUUCCUUUGCUGUUGGUUCACCCUCCAAUGGUGCACUACACUGAUCCAAAGCCAGGAGCCAGGUGCUUCUCCUGGUCUCCCCUGGGGUGCAGGGCCCAAGCACUUGGGCCAUCCUCCACUGCACUCCCUGGCCACAGCAGAGAGCUGGCCUGGAAGAGGGGCAACCGGGACAGAAUCUGGUGCCCUGACCGGGACUAGAACCCGGUGUGCCGGCGCCGCAGGCGGAGGAUUAGCCUAGUGAGCCACAGCGCCAGCCAUAAACAUAUGUAUUUUUUACUUUAUUCUAUAAAACUAUGUUUGCUGGGCCUAAAAUUCUUUUUUUCUUUAAAGAUUCAAUUAUUUAUUUGAAAGGCAGAGUUACAGGAAGAGACAGAGAGAGAGAGAGAGAGAGAGAGAGAGAAUCUCCCAUCUGCUGGUUCACUCCUCAAAUGGCUGCAACAGCCAGGGCUGGGCCAGGCUGAAGCUGGGAGCUGGGACCUUAUCCGCGUCUCCCGAGUGGGAGCAGGGACCCAAGCACUUGGGCGUCUUCUGCUGCCUUCCCAGGAGUGUCGGCAGGGAGCUGGAUCAGAGUGGGGCAGCCGGGACUGGAUCCAGAGCUCUGAUUUGAGACGAUGGCCUCACAGGCCGUGGCUUAACCCACGUACCACAAAGCCAGCCCUGGACUCUAAUUUAAAUAUUUCAUCUUUCCCAUCUCCAGAAAUUCCAUCAGGUCGCUUCCAGACCAUGCAAGCCCAUUCACACGUCCUGUAAA